CCUUCGCAAUCACAAUUCCUUUUACAUGAUUUGGCAUUUAUUCAACUUCAUAUAUCAAAUUAAAGAAAACGAGGUUUUAAAUAUUGGAAAUAUUAUACUUUUUCAACCGUUUUUAAGUUAGUAUAGCAGUAAAAAAUCUACAACCUCCAAAGAAAACGAACAAAAUGAUAUCGACGUCAGUGAUGAAAGUUCGCGUGGACCUUCAAAGUGAAAACUUUGUAGCGAGUGGUUAAAAUAAUCGACUGGUUUGAAGAGAAAAAAAGGGUGUAGCUGAACUUAACUGACCUCAAAGGUUUAAUUGUGUGUACUUAUUUUUUCGAAUGUGAAGUGAAAUAAAACCACAUGUUUUGAUGACAAAA